GAUGAACGCUGGCGGCGUGCUUAACACAUGCAAGUCGAACGAAGCACCUCUCCCGAAGAUUGACACAGCUUGCUGUAGAUUGAUUCAUUUGAGGUGACUGAGUGGCGGACGGGUGAGUAACGCGUGGGUAACCUGCCUCAUAGAGGGGGACAACAUUUGGAAACGACUGCUAAUACCGCAUAGUAAGAAGAAUUCGCAUGUUUUCUUCUUGAAAGAUUUAUCGCUAUGAGAUGGACCCGCGUCUGAUUAGCUAGUUGGUAAGGUAACGGCUUACCAAGGCGACGAUCAGUAGCCGGCUUGAGAGAGUGAACGGCCACAUUGGGACUGAGACACGGCCCAAACUCCUACGGGAGGCAGCAGUGGGGAAUAUUGCACAAUGGGGGAAACCCUGAUGCAGCGACGCCGCGUGAGUGAAGAAGUAUUUCGGUAUGUAAAGCUCUAUCAGCAGGGAAGAUAAUGACGGUACCUGACGAAGAAGCCCCGGCUAACUACGUG
rnacentral:rRNA from 1 species